rnacentral:rRNA from 1 species
GAUGAACGCUGGCGGCGUGCCUAAUACAUGCAAGUCGAGCGAACAGACGAGGAGCUUGCUCCUCUGACGUUAUCGGCGGACGGGUGAGUAACACGUGGAUAACCUACCUAUAAGACUGGGAUAACUUCGGGAAACCGGAGCUAAUACCGGAUAAUAUAUUGAACCGCAUGGUUCAAUAGUUAAAGACGGUUUUGCUGUCACUUAUAGUUGGAUCCGCGCCGCAUUAGCUAGUUGGUAAGGUAACGGCUUACCAAGGCAACGAUGCGUAGCCGACCUGAGAGGGUGAUCGGCCACACGGGAACUGAGACAGGGUACAGACACCUACGGGAGGCAGCAGUAGGGAAUCUUCCGCAAUGGGCGAAAGCCUGACGGAGCAACGCCGCGUGAGUGAUGAAGGUGUUCGGAUCGUAAAACUCUGUUAUUAGGGAAGAACAAAUGUGUAAGUAACUAUGCACGUCUUGACGGUACCUAAUCAGAAAGCCACGGCUAACUACGUG